GACGAACGCUGGCGGCGUGCUUAACACAUGCAAGUCGAACGGAAAGGCCCUGCUCUUGUGGGUUGCUCGAGUGGCGCACACGUGAGUAACACGUGAGUAACCUGCCCUUGUCUUUCUGAUAUCUUCACGAAACUGGGGCUCAUACCGCAUAUGAUCUCCUGCUGCAUGUUGGUCGUUGGAAAGUUUCGGCUGUUGGGGAUGUACUCGCGGCUUAUCCGCUUGAUGGUCGGGUAGUGGCUUACCAAGCCUAUGACGGGUAGCCUGCCUGAGAGGGUGAACGGCCACAAGGGGACUGAGAGACGGAGCAGAAGGCUACGGGAGGCAGUAGUGGGGAAUAUGGCGCAAUAGGGGGGAGCGAGAGGCAGCAGUGCCGCGAGCGGGAAGACGGGUUUCGGGGGAUAAACCGAUGUGGAAGGUGACGAAGAGGGAGUGACGGUAAUGGGUAAAGAAGCACCGGCUAACUACGUG
rnacentral:rRNA from 1 species